rnacentral:lncRNA from 1 species
UGAGGUCUGCGGGCCAAUAUAGCAGCAUCAGAUUGGGUAUAUUUGGACUUAUCGUCUGGUUGACGUAUAUAACUAUAGUAGCAGUUGUCGCUUGUAUAUCUUCAGUUCUUUCGUUACAUUGUCUUGCUACUAUAGUCUUGUUACAUGUAUACAUUCAGUUGUUCAUUACAGUAGCGGUAGUUGUACUUUCUUUCAUAUGCAUGUCUCUUUCAUUCAUUAUUAUUGCUUCUGUAUUUUCUACUGAUCCAUACUGUUGUUUAACUCUUCCUGAUCCGGUCAGUACUCCUCGCCUUCAUCGGCUUGCGGUACCCACUGGGAGGGGAGACAUGUUUACAUGUUCUCACCUCCCCCACCAUUUUUCAGGUAUCGUCGGCGGUGAGAGUUGAGGCGAGACGUGAAACACAUUCGUAGUGGUCGCUAGAGCUUCCGACCCAGUUUGUCGAUCUACUUCUUAUCCUGUUUACUUUUGUUAUUAAUAGUUGGUAUUACAUGGUUCAAUUAGAGUAUCAUACUUGACGUUUGAAUGCUCAUGGAUUGGUUUUUAUGGAUUUACAAAUCGUGGUUUUCUACCCCUCGAGGUAGUCGGUUUUCAAAAUAGAGUUUCCGAGUGGGAAACAGUUUUAAAAGAGAUUUUCGAAUGGUUUUGUGAAUGAAAUAGAUUCCAAAAAUAAAAGCUUCCGUGUGGGGAGCACUUUUAAAUAAGAUGUUUGUUGUAUUGUGCAUUGCAUCAUCCAGCGCCUAAGGAGUGCUUAGAGGCAUGCAUCAUUCUAAGGAUCGUUAGCUGUAUGGGAAUGCAUGUCAUGAAUUGAUUGUUGAUUGGUAAAUAUAGGUUGUGGUUGAGAUCCUGUUGUAUAGCUGGUACGCCGUGCAA